rnacentral:rRNA from 1 species
AUUGAACGCUUGCGGCAGGCCUAACACAUGCAAGUCGAACGAGUGGCGGACGGGUGAGUAACGUCUGGGAAACUGCCUGACGGAGGGGGAUAACUACUGGAAACGGCAGCUAAUACCGAUUACCAUCGGAUGGGCUCUGACGGGACUAGCCAGUGGGUGGGGUAAAGGCUCACCUAGGCGCCGAUCCCUAGCUGGUCUGAGAGGAUGACCGGCCACACUGGAACUGAGACACGGUCCAGACUCCUACGGGAGGCAGCAGUAGGGAAUAUUACGCAAUGGGCGCAAGCCUGAUGCAGCCAUGCCGCGUGUAUGAAGAAGGCCGUCGGAUUGUAAAGUACUUUCAGCAGGGAAGCGUUACCCGCAGAAAAAGCACCGGCUAACUCCGUGCCAGCAGCCGCGGUAAUAC